UGGGGAAUAUUGCGCAAUGGGGGCAACCCUGACGCAGCAACGCCGCGUGCGGGACGACGGCCUUCGGGUUGUAAACCGCUUUCAGCAGGGAAGAUAGUGACGGUACCUAACCAGAAAGCCACGGCUAACUACGUGCCAGCAGCCGCGGUAAUACGUAGGUGGCAAGCGUUGUCCGGAAUUAUUGGGCGUAAAGCGCGCGCAGGUGGUUUAGAAAGUCUGAUGUGAAAGCCCACGGCUCAACCGUGGAGGGUCAUUGGAAACUAAUAAACAUGAGUGCAGGAGAGAAAAGUGGAAUUCCUAGUGUAGCGGUGAAAUGCGUAGAGAUUAGGAGGAACACCGGUGGCGAAAGCGGCUUUUUGGCCUGCAACUGACACUGAGGCGCGAAAGCGUGGGGAGCAAACAGG
rnacentral:rRNA from 1 species